GCGAAGCUGGCGGAAUGGCAGACGCGCAGGUUUUAGGAGCCUGUGGGCAACCGUGGGGGUUCGAGUCCCCCGCUUCGCACCA
rnacentral:tRNA from 1 species